rnacentral:rRNA from 1 species
AUUAGAUACCCUGGUAGUCCAUGCUGUAAACGAUGAAUGCUAGGUGUGGGGGGACUGACCCCUUCCGUGCCGGAGUUAACACAAUAAGCAUUCCACCUGGGGAGUACGACCGCAAGGUUGAAACUCAAAGGAAUUGACGGGGGCCCGCACAAGCAGUGGAGUAUGUGGUUUAAUUCGAAGCAACGCGAAGAACCUUACCAGGUCUUGACAUCCAACUAACGAAGCAGAGAUGCAUUAGGUGCCCUUCGGGGAAAGUUGAGACAGGUGGUGCAUGGUUGUCGUCAGCUCGUGUCGUGAGAUGUUGGGUUAAGUCCCGCAACGAGCGCAACCCCCAUCGCCAGUUGCCAACAGGUAAAGCUGGGAACUCUGGCGAGACUGCCGGCGCAAGCUGCGAGGAAGGCGGGGAUGACGUCAAAUCAGCACGGCCCUUACGUCCGGGGCGACACACGUGUUACAAUGGCAGGUACAGCGGGAAGCCACCGGGCGACCGGGAGCAGAACCCGAAAACCUGUCUCAGUUCGGAUUGGAGUCUGCAACUCGACUCCAUGAAGCUGGAUUCGCUAGUAAUCGCGCAUCAGCCACGGCGCGGUGAAUACGUUCCCGGGCCUUGUACACACCGCCCGUCAAGCCAUGGGAGUCGGGAGUGCCUGAAGUACGUGACCGCAAGGAGCGUCCUAAGGCAAAACUGAUGACUGGGGCUAAGUCGUAACAAGGUACCAAGGGCGA